rnacentral:rRNA from 1 species
CAGCACCUCAAGUGGUCAGGAUGAUUAUUGGGCCUAAAGCAUCCGUAGCCGGCUCUGUAAGUUUUCGGUUAAAUCUGUACGCUCAACGUACAGGCUGCCGGGGAUACUGCAGAGCUAGGGAGUGGGAGAGGUAGACGGUACUCGGUAGGAAGGGGUAAAAUCCUUUGAUCUCUUGAUGACCACCUGUGGCGAAGGCGGUCUACCAGAACACGUCCGACGGUGAGGGAUGAAAGCUGGGGGAGCAAACCGGAUUAGAUACCCGCGUAGUCC